CAGGAAGCACGUUUGUUUGUCAUAAAAACUUUAACCAAAGCCCUAACGCUAAAACCCUACUCAAAUUGAAUCUGAUCUUCAUAAGACCAAAUUUCAAUGUCGUUCUCUUUAAUUCGAUCUCGGUUAUGUCAGAGACUCUCCAAUUCUUCUGCCAUUAAUAGCUUCGACAAGAACUCCAAUCUGAGAACUUCCAUUUUUUGUAGACGCUUUUGCACUAAAGAACCGCCAUUGUCGUCUGUUUCUUCUCAAGUCAACGAAAAUUCUUCAUCUUCUCCGCCUUUACCACCAUCACCACCGCCCCAUAAGAAGAAUGGCUUUUUGACUGCCCUCAAAUUCGGUCUUACUUUUGCUGUUACUGGUGCUGUUGCUGCUGCUGGCUAUGCUACUUAUGCAUACACUUUAGAAGAAGUAGACGAGAAAACAAAAGCAUUCCGAGCAUCUGUAAAUUAUCCAAUUGAAGAUGAUGAAUCUAUUAUAAAUAAACUUCAAGCUUCUAUUCGAUAUGCGUCUUUUAUUGUGCCUGCUGAAGCAAUUCGACUUUAUAUAGACCUAAGAAGAUAUGUGGAGGAGCAAGUUCGAGGUUUUACUGAUCCUUUGUCAGAUAAGUUGCUCCCUGACUUGCCUCCUGGAUUGCAUAAUGUAUUUACGCUUGUCUUGGAUCUGAAUGAGACUUUGGUGUACUCUGAUUGGAAGCGUGAAAGAGGCUGGAGAACUUUUAAAAGGCCCGGUGUCGAUGCGUUUCUUGAGCAUCUAGCACAAUUUUAUGAAAUUGUUGUCUAUUCUGACCAUUUGCAAAUGUACGUCGACCCCGUUCUUGACAGAUUAGACACAAAGCAAUAUGUAGCUCAUCGAUUAUCAAGGGCUGCGACAAGAUAUGAGAAUGGGAAGCAUUAUAGGGAUCUUUCAACACUGAACCGUGAUCCAAAGAAGGUUAUUUAUCUUAGUGGCCAUGCCCUAGAGAGUUGCCUUCAGCUGGAGAACUGUAUUGAAAUCAAGCCAUGGAAGGGAGAUGAUCUGAAUGAUACUACUCUGUUGGAUUUUCUUCCAUUCCUUGAAUUUGUUGCUCGGAGUGGACCAACUGAUAUUCGUCAGGUGCUAGAAUCCUAUAAAGGCCGAGAUAUUCCAAAAGAGUUUAUAGAACGCUCUAAAGAGCACCAAAGGAACAACACCCUGUUGCUUUUUUCAACAAAACUUUGGGGAAGAGGGCUUGCAUGAAGUCCAUUUAUGAGAAGGAACUAAUGGCAAUUGUUUUUUCCAUUCUCAAAUGGCGCCACUACCUCUUGGGCUGGAAAUUCGUGGUUCGUACUGAUCAAAGUAGCUUGAAGUUUCUUUCGGAGCAACGCGAGGUGGGUGUUGAUUGUUAGAAAUGGAUCACCAAGAUAAUGGGGUAUGACUUUGAGAUAGUAUACAACCCCGGGAGAUCGAAUAGAGUUGCUGAUGCUUUAUCACCCAAAGAUUCAACAGUGAUCUCUUUGGGAUCACUUUGCAGUACCACAACAAUUGAUUGGGACGCCUUAGAUGAAGCAGUUGAGAAGGAUAGCUUGCUCCGUUCCAUUAAGCAGACUCGCAGAAGGAGAGGUGGUCCUUUCUGGAUUUACUCAGCGACAACUUUAUAAGGGCAGAUUUGUAAUCCCCAAGAAUUGUUCGUUUAUUGCUACGAUUCUUCAUCCCUUCCAUGAUUCUCCUAUAGGUGGGCAUUCGGGUGAACAAAAAACCUACCAGCGCAUAGCCCAAGAUUGGUUUUGGGAGGGUAUGAAGAAGCAAAUUACUGAAUAUGUGAAGACCUGUGUUGUGUGCCAACGACAAGAGGCAUCUUCCUUAUCCCCUGCGGGUCUUCUACAGCCUCUACUCAUUCCAACUCAGGUAUGGGAGCAUAUCUCGAUGGAUUUCGUAGAAGGUUUGCCCAAGGUAAAAGGCAAGGACACUAUUUUGGUGAUUGUGGAUAGGCUUACCAAAUAUGCACACUUCGUCGCUCUUAAACACCACUUUAUCAGUAUGAUAGCAGAGACAUUCAUCAAAGAAGUAGUCUGUCUCCAUGGUUUUCCACCUUCAAUUAUCUCGGACAGAGAUAAGCUCUUCAUGAGCCAUUUUUGGAAAGAGCUCUUCCGUUUGCACUCUACAGAGUUGAAACGUACCACGGCAUACCAUCCCCAAACGGAGGUGGUUAACAAAACCUUGGAGACUUACCUACGUUGCUCAUUAAUGGACAGCCUACGAAGUGGUUAGAUUGGCUCCAUUGGGCUGAAUAGAACUAUAAUACCUCGCCCCACACAUUCACCAAGAUCUCCCCAUUCCAAGCGUUGUAUGGAAGGCUUCCUCCUCAUCUUGGGCGUGUAGGGAAAGUUCUCACCGCUUUGGGCAGCCUCGAAGAACAACUUCAAUAACGUGAUGCACUGCUAGACGAGUUAAAAUUUCAUUUACUUUGUGCUCAACAAAUCAUGAAACACAAUGAAGAUAUACACAGGAGAAAUAUCACUUCCAUUGAAGGAGAUGAAGUAUUCUUGAAAUUACAACCCUAUCAUCAGAAAUCACUCUCUUGCCAUUACAAUGAGAAGCUAGCUCUGGGUUUUUACGGGCCUUACAAGGUUCAAAAGAAAAUAGGGAACGCAGCUUAUCAACUUGCACUUCCUCCGGACAGUCGUAUCCAUCCCAUCUUCCAUGUCUCUCAGUUGAAACGAGCAAUUGGAUCUCAUCAACCUUCUGUCUUGCCAAGCCACAUUACUGAAUCCCUGGAGCUCAAGCCCACACCUGCAGCUUUACUAGAUUUGCGUUAUCAGAAGGAUGGCAUUCUGGAAGCUCUUAUUUAUGGUCUGAUCUACCUACUGCAGAAGCAACUUGGGAGGAAGCUUUACUCAUUGCUCAACAGUUUCCACACUUCCACCUUGAGGACAAGGUGUGUCUUCACACCGGGGUAUUGCUAUGCCCUUCAUUAAGGAGAAAGAGUGGGUUAUGUAUCACAGGAGGAAGAAAAAGAGCAAUCAAGGAAAUGCAACAAACUAAAGCUGACAUGGCACAAGAGAAACGAACUACAAUUCUGUUAUAUCAGAUUUUGAGAAUAAAUUCUGUUUUGUAUUUACUAGAUCCUUCCAGGGGAUGCAGGAUAGAAAUCUAGCACUAUAUAUAGUAGCAUUUAAGGGUAGCUGAAGUAUGCAAAAAGUGUAAUCAGUACCUUGUGGUAGGAGUGACUGACACUCAAAAAAUCAGCUGCUGUAACCUUUUCUUUUUUCUUUCUAAUACCAUCUUCUCUUCUUCCCUUCUUUUACGUUAUCAUUCCCUUAAACCUGAAACCCAGAUCAUAGCAGGAUCAAAGUAAAACAAAUCAAGCCACAAACAAUUUAAUAUCAAUUUUCCCAAUAUUAAGUCCCAUAUAUACAAGAUUCUAUAGUAUGAGAUCAAACACCAAUUAAGAGUCUCGAGUAGGAGUAUCUCUUCAUAAAUCACACAUGACAAUCAGAUUACUCCCCGAGGUCAUCAACAAAAGAGAAUGCAAGGACAGAAACAACAUGGACGCUUUUGGCGGAAGUGAAGUUACGAGUCUGCUCUAUACCGCAGUAGAGAGCUUAUUUAUCUUGCUAUAUCAAUUGAAGGCGAGGUGGAGCCGACUAGAGUUGCUUCACAUAAUCAAAUACAUUAGCAUAAUCAUUAAGAUAGUUAGCCAGAGGAAAAUUUGUGCACUAUUUCUUGAUUGCACAAGACAAAAUUUUGCUUCUCUAACUGUUGGCAGUUCCUUGAUUCGAACUGCACAUGUUCAGUUAUGCUGUGCUGAAGCUCCUCCUCCAGAUUUUUAUCAAGUUCCAAUGGUUCGAGACAUCCAGAUUUUUAUAAAGCAAUAUGAAUAAUAUGAUUCCUUUAUAAUGACCAGAACGUAUGCUGUAUAAUAGACACUCUUUGAGAAUCGUGGGUUAGCUUAUCGAUUCAAAACUUUUGCUUUCACCCUUGUAUCAGGGGCUCGAUUGUGGCCAUCUAUAUAGGAACCAAUUAAUUCUCCUUUUUUCUUUUACCUAUGGGAUUCUCCGUUGAUAUAUUUUGGAUAUGUGAAGGAACCCAGGAAAAUGAUGAGACUAUUUUAAGAGUAGAAAUAAAAUGAAAAGGAAAUAGAAGAGGGAGAUUGAGGAAUAAGGAUAAAGUUAAAUUUCAUCCUUUCUCUAUUUUAUAAUACUUGUUAUAUUUGAUUUUUUACGCAAUUUAAUAUAUUAUUUUGAUUAUUUA